CUCUAGCCUGGGCAACGGAGCGAGACUCCAUCUCAAAUUAAAAAAAAAAAAUAGUUUGGCUUAAGGUUUUUCUGGACAUGCAGAUAAUAUAAUUCUGACCUGAGGUCUGCAUGUUGUGGGGAAACUUGUGGUUAUGAAUUCUCAGUGGGACUGUUUUCUUUUUACUUCUUUUUUCCAGAAUCAGGCUGAAUAGCCAGUUAUCCCCGUAAGAGAUAUAAGGUAAGACAUGACCCAGACUAUGCCUCAAUCACUUGUCAUCAUGGUAGUGAUGACAAGUGAUUAAGGCAUAUUCUGAUUUAUUUCAGGGGAGACCAUUGGCAUGAAAUGUACGGAUCCACACCAGCCUCUGCUUAUGGUUCAUUGGCUCCCUAAGAGUCUCUUGGCGUCUGCAGUGACUAUGAGUGAAUAACAGGUCACCCUUCUUGCUUAGAGUAGAGCAGAUGGUUCACCCCGCAAGAAAGAACACUUGAGGUCAUUUGCAAGUGGAAAGAGAUUUGCAUUUGGGCAUGGAAAGGGCCGCUAGUAUGGAAACAUUCACACAUAUUCAAUGGGCUCAUCAAUGAGUGUCACGGGAGACACUUAAGAAAAUGCUGAUGCACAGAAGCUCAGAAGAGGCAAUUGCUGCCCUACCUUCACUCUGGACCACUUCUUCACCAGGUACUUUCUAGAUUGCACAUCACAGCCUUGUAGCUGGGUUCUAUUCUCCUUGGGAGAGAUGUCUCCAUCUUUCCUCUUCUCCAAGGCUUGGAGACCACA